rnacentral:rRNA from 1 species
GAUGAACGCUGGCGGCGUGCCUAAUACAUGCAAGUCGAGCGAACAGACGAGGAGCUUGCUCCUCUGACGUUAGCGGCAGACGGGUGAGUAACACGUGGAUAACCUACCUAUAAGACUGGGAUAACUUCGGGAAACCGGAGCUAAUACCGGAUAAUAUAUUGAACCGCAUGGUUCAAUAGUGAAAGACGGUUUUGCUGUCACUUAUAGAUGGAUCCGCGCCGCAUUAGCUAGUUGGUAAGGUAACGGCUUACCAAGGCAACGAUGCGUAGCCGACCUGAGAGGGUGAUCGGCCACACUGGAACUGAGACACGGUCCAGACUCCUACGGGAGGCAGCAGUAGGGAAUCUUCCGCAAUGGGCGAAAGCUUGACGGAGCAACGCCGCGUGAGUGAUGAAGGUCUUCGGAUCGUAAAACUCUGUUAUUAGGGAAGAACAAAUGUGUAAGUAACUAUGCACGUCUUGACGAUACCUAAUCAGAAAGCCACGGCUAACUACGUG